AUAGAUCAGAAGUGAGAAUGUUGACAUGAGUAGCGACAAACAGGGUGAGAGACCCUGUCGCCGAAAGUCCAAGGGUUCCUGCUUAAAGCUAAUCUGAGCAGGGUAAGCCGGCCCCUAAGGCGAGGCCGAAAGGCGUAGUCGAUGGGAACCAGGUUAAUAUUCCUGGGCCGUGAGAUGGUGACGGAUUGCAGAGGUAGUUUGCCCUUAUCGGAUUGGGUGAGCUGCUGAGUGGUCCCUGGAAAUAGCCUCUCUAUAAGACCGUACCCUAAACCGACACAGGUGGACUGGUAGAGUAUACCAAGGCGCUUGAGAGAACCACAUCAAAGGAACUCGGCAAAGUGCCUCCGUAAGUUCGCGAGAAGGAGGCCCCAUCUUUAGGCAACUAGAGGUGGGGGGCACAAACUAGGGGGUGGCGACUGUUUACUUAAAACACAGGGCUCUGCGAAGUCGUAAGACGACGUAUAGGGUCUGACGCCUGCCCGGUGCUGGAAGGUUAAAAGGAGGGGUGCAAGCUCUGAAUUGAAGCCCCAGUAAACGGCGGCCGUAACGAUAACGGUCCUAAGGUAGCGAAAUUCCUUGUCGGGUAAGUUCCGACCUGCACGAAUGGCGUAACGAUCUCCCCGCUGUCUCUGAUGUGGACUCAGCGAAAUUGAACUGUGUGUCAAGAUGCACACUUCCCGCGGUUAGACGGAAAGACCCCAUGCACCUUUACUCCAGCUUUGCACUGGUAUCAGGAUUGUGAUGUGCAGGAUAGGUGGUAGGCAGCGAAGCAGGGACGCUAGUUCUUGUGGAGCCAACCUUGAGAUACCACCCUUCGCCAUUCUGAUAUCUAACCGCGGUCCGUUAUCCGGAUCCGGGACCCUGCAUGGUGGGGAGUUUGACUGGGGCGGUCGCCUCCCAAAGUGUAACGGAGGCGCGCGAAGGUAGGCUCAGACCGGUCGGAAAUCGGUCGUUGAGUGCAAUGGCAGAAGCCUGCCUGACUGCAAGACUGACAAGUCGAGCAGAGACGAAAGUCGGUCAUAGUGAUCCGGUGGUCCCAAGUGGGAGGGCCAUCGCUCAACGGAUAAAAGGUACGCUGGGGAUAACAGGCUGAUGAUGCCCAAGAGUCCAUAUCGACGGCAUCGUUUGGCACCUCGAUGUCGGCUCAUCUCAUCCUGGGGCUGGAGCAGGUCCCAAGGGUACGGCUGUUCGCCGUUUAAAGAGGUACGUGAGCUGGGUUUAGAACGUCGUGAGACAGUUCGGUCCCUAUCUGCCGUGGGUGUAGGAGACUUGAGAAGAGUUGCCCCUAGUACGAGAGGACCGGGGUGAACGAACCACUGGUGGACCAGUUAUCGUGCCAACGGUAGUGCUGGGUAGCUAUGUUCGGACAGGAUAACCGCUGAAGGCAUCUAAGCGGGAAGCCCCCUUCAAAACAAGGUCUCCCUGAGGGCCGUGGAAGACCACCACGUCGAUAGGCCAGAGGUGUAAGUGCAGCAAUGCAUUCAGCUGACUGGUACUAAUUGCCC
rnacentral:rRNA from 1 species